AUGCAGACGUCGGACAGAAGAGCGUUCUUGGAGACGUCGUUCCGGGCCUGGAUAUUGCAUGCCUCACGUAAGCACGACGCAGAGGAAAUAACACGCAAUUCACGUAGGAAAUAUCAUGAUGCACGUACGUCGUAUCUGGAGAAGAUGGUUGGCUGGAGCAGCUUGAUGUCGAAGGUGGGGAUGACUAUGUUCUGCAGCGCCUCGCCGACCCGCGUCUCGCCGAGCAGCUCUUUGACGACGGAGUGGAGGUACUGGCCGUCGUACUUGGGCCCCCUCAUGCUCCUGAGCAAGCCCAGAGGCCCUCCGUAG
rnacentral:rRNA from 1 species